rnacentral:rRNA from 2 species
UGGGGGAUAUUGCACAAUGGGCGCAAGCCUGAUGCAGCGACGCCGCGUGAAGGAAGACGUAUUUCGGUAUGUAAACUUCUAUCAGCGGGGAAGAAGAUGACGGUACCCGACUAAGAAGCCCCGGCUAAUUACGUGCCAGCAGCCGCGGUAAUACGUAAGGGGCAAGCGUUAUCCGGAUUUACUGGGUGUAAAGGGAGCGUAGACGGUGAGGCAAGUCUGAUGUGAAAACCCGGGGCUCAACUCCGGGAUUGCAUUGGAAACUGUCUGACUUGAGUACUGGAGGGGUAAGCGGAAUUCCUGGUGUAGCGGUGAAAUGCGUAGAUAUCAGGAGGAACACCGGUGGCGAAGGCGGCUUACUGGACAGUAACUGACGUUGAGGCUCGAAAGCGUGGGGAGCAAACAGG